rnacentral:rRNA from 1 species
UACGUAGGGUGCAAGCGUUGUCCGGAAUUAUUGGGCGUAAAGAGCUCGUAGGCGGUUUGUCGCGUCUGCUGUGAAAACCCGAGGCUCAACCUCGGGCCUGCAGUGGGUACGGGCAGACUAGAGUGCGGUAGGGGAGAUUGGAAUUCCUGGUGUAGCGGUGGAAUGCGCAGAUAUCAGGAGGAACACCAAUGGCGAAGGCAGAUCUCUGGGCCGUAACUGACGCUGAGGAGCGAAAGCAUGGGGAGCGAUCAGG